UACGAAGGGGGCUAGCGUUGUUCGGAAUCACUGGGCGUAAAGCGCACGUAGGCGGAUCUUUAAGUCAGGGGUGAAAUCCCAGAGCUCAACUCUGGAACUGCCCUUGAUACUGGGGAUCUUGAGUCCGGAAGAGGUAAGUGGAACUGCGAGUGUAGAGGUGAAAUUCGUAGAUAUUCGCAAGAACACCAGUGGCGAAGGCGGCUUACUGGUCCGGUACUGACGCUGAGGUGCGAAAGCGUGAGGAGCAAACAGGAUUAGAAACCCUGGUAGU
rnacentral:rRNA from 1 species